rnacentral:rRNA from 1 species
AUUGAACGCUGGCGGCAUGCUUUACACAUGCAAGUCGAACGGCAGCACGGGGGCAACCCUGGUGGCGAGUGGCGAACGGGUGAGUAAUAUAUCGGAACGUACCCGGAAAUGGGGGAUAACGUAGCGAAAGUUACGCUAAUACCGCAUAUGCCCUAAGGGGGAAAGCGGGGGACUCGCAAGAACCUCGCGUUUUCGGAGCGGCCGAUAUCGGAUUAGCUAGUAGGUGAGGUAAAGGCUCACCUAGGCGACGAUCCGUAGCUGGUCUGAGAGGACGACCAGCCACACUGGAACUGAGACACGGUCCAGACUCCUACGGGAGGCAGCAGUGGGGAAUUUGGACAAUGGGCGCAAGCCUGAUCCAGCCAUGCCGCGUGAGUGAAGAA